GUCAUAUUUCUCUGAGCUCCCAAAGAGGUCCCGACACUAAAUUAUUUUAUGAAGUGAACUAUUAGUUAAUAUCUGUUAAAUCAGCUCUCAGCUUGAAAUAUGAAGAAAAGCAACAAGUUUAUGCCACCUGCAGUCAAGACUCUGCAUACUAAAAGCUCUGAAAGUGAUCACGACUAUUCUGUGCCUAUGGAGUCAGCAACAGUUAGCAAACGGGAAAGGGAAGCCAAUACCCCGACCAGCACUCCAGAAAAAAACAUACACAUGGAGAAAAGAACAAAAGAAUGGAUCAGCUGCUGAGGACGAUGUAGUUGAUCUAGGAGAGCACCAGACCAUGCAAGAACCAGAGAGUGAGAGACCCAACCCAAAUCCGUCACAGAAUGGAUCAGCUGCUAAGGACGAUGUAGUUGACAUAGGAGAGCACCAGACCAUGCAAGAACCAGAGAGUGAGAGACCCAACCCAAAUCCGUCACAGGUAAGAUUACAAUUACUUACAGGGCGGCCAGCGUUCAUCUUUGUGCGUUUAGUUUAUCUUUUACAGGAUUGAUUUUGCUAUGAUGACUUGAUGCACACAAUCUGAACAACACAUUUCAUUCCUUCGCAAUAGAAUAGAAUAGAAUAGAAUAGAAUAACAAAGACUUUAUUUUCAUGUCAGGCACUUCAGUUUUGCUCAGCAGGCCAUAAUAAAGCUGAAUUGGGAUCUCUGGCUGACAUAAAACCAUGACCAAAGAGUGCAGCAAGGCACAAGAUUCUAGAAAAUAUUGAUCAUAGUGAUGAUUAGACGUAGCAUUUUACUAUAUGUUCUGAUGUUUGAACUCCAAAAAUAUUUGAGAUACUGUGUUGGACCACCCAAAACUAGGUACACACAAGG